rnacentral:rRNA from 1 species
UACGGAGGGUGCAAGCGUUGUUCGGAAUUAUUGGGCGUAAAGCGCGUGUAGGCGGCUACCUAAGUCUGGUGUGAAAGCCCGGGGCUUAACCCCGGAAGUGCACUGGAUACUGGGUAGCUAGAGGACGGGAGAGGAGAGCGGAAUUCAUGGUGUAGGGGUGAAAUCCGUAGAUAGUCAUGAGGAACAUCCGUGGCGAAGGCGG